UAUUUUAAAUAAAGCGAUAAUUUGCGUUUAGUUUCGGCCUAAAUUUUGAUUAAAAUCU
rnacentral:tRNA from 1 species